GACGAACGCUGGCGGCGUGCUUAACACAUGCAAGUCGAACGGAAAGGCCCUUCGGGGUACUCGAGUGGCGAACGGGUGAGUAACACGUGGGUGAUCUGCCCUGCACUUUGGGAUAAGCCUGGGAAACUGGGUCUAAUACCGAAUAGGACCACGCGCUUCAUGGUGUGUGGUGGAAAGCUUUUGCGGUGUGGGAUGGGCCCGCGGCCUAUCAGCUUGUUGGUGGGGUAAUGGCCUACCAAGGCGACGACGGGUAGCCGGCCUGAGAGGGUGACCGGCCACACUGGGACUGAGAUACGGCCCAGACUCCUACGGGAGGCAGCAGUGGGGAAUAUUGCACAAUGGGCGCAAGCCUGAUGCAGCGACGCCGCGGGAGGGAUGACGGCCUUCGGGUUGUAAACCUCUUUCAAUAGGGACGAAGCGCAGGUGACGGUACCUAUAGAAGAAGCACCGGCCAACUAC
rnacentral:rRNA from 1 species